rnacentral:misc_RNA from 1 species
GCUCGCGUGCGUGUUUGGUUGCUUUUGAUUGCUCCUUUUUUAGCUGCAGUGCAGUGCGUGUGGCUUCGCAGUCGUGGAAUCGGCCGGAAAAGUCGCUUUUUUCGCUGUGCAAGUCGCCGGCCCCGGUGCCAACGGUAUCACUUCCGAUUCACGCAGAUCACCUCACUUUGUCCGAUUGUGUCUCUAAAUGCAGCAUAACUAGCAGAGUGACAAAGGCAGCCAGCAGCAAUCACUCCUAGAAUGACCGACAACAACAACUUCCACAUCCCGCAGCAUGUCAUCAAGCAAGAGCCGUCGGCGGCGCCGGGUUCGUCACCCUCGCAGCACCAGUUCCAGGUGUACUACUCCCACCAGCAGCAGCAGCAGCAGCCACUGUCCCAGAAGGGCCCGCCGACGACGACGUUGAAGGUGAUCGAAUCGAUGGACUCGCCAACGUCUUCGUCGUCCGUGUCGGUGGCGGGGUUGGACUACAGCACGCACCAUCACCACCCGCAGCAGAUCAUCGAGUACGAUCCGACAAGCGAUCCGAACCAUCCGGUGAACGUUAUCAUCGAGCACCAGCAGGUGGUGGAAACUCAGCCAUCGAUCGAGCAGCAGGAACAGAGCGUGAUUGAGGCGCUCUGCCAGCAGGCUCACCAGAAUCGGCUCCAGCGGAAGCGGUUGCGGUUGGACAAUCAGCAGCCGCAGCAGCAUGAGAACAACGGUUCCGGCUAUCCGAGCGACGAGGACGACGAGGAAGACCCUCGCCGGAAGGUGGUUCACCACGGCGCUGGCGCUGCGGCGGGUCAAGAGUCCAUCGAAGAGCAGGAGCAAAGUAUUAUCGAGGCACUCUACCAACAGCAGCAGCAGAACCAGUUGCGAAAACAGUUGAUCCAUGAACCCGCCAGCAACCACCAGCAGCCGCAGCAGCACAACCCGCCACUCCACCAUCCAAUGUUGGCCGGCUUCCAGCAUCGGCACUCGUCCACGCCACCGUCGCGGUCGAUUUCGCCCUCCCAGUCGCCGACCGUUUCCGGCACGACCGACUCGGUCAGCUCACGCAUCUCAUCCGGACCGGCGUCGGCUGCUCAGUUGCAGUCGCACCACCAACUUCCGGCGGCGGCUGCCCUCUCGCUGGCCAACAUCAAUCAGAACAAUUUUAUCGCGCGACUCAUCAGCAAGGACAACAUUCUGCUGAUAUCGGAGGAUCUGAUCGAGAUCGGACGCAACUCGUCCCGGGCCCAGGUGGACUUUCACGUCGGUCGGAACAGCUUCGUGUCGCGGAAACAUCUGCUGCUGCACCACGACCACACCGACGGCGAGUUCUACCUGUCCUGCUUGAGCAAAAACGGCGUCUUUAUCGACAACGUGUUCCACCGGAAAGGUGCCGAACCGUUCCUGCUGCCGAGAGUGUGCAGCAUCCGGUUUCCCAGUACAAACAUCAAGAUUCAGUUCGAGAACCUGUACCACAAAAAUGCCACCGACGGCCCGCGGGACCUGUUGGAAACCAUCGGUGGACCAUUUGCGGCGAGCAGUAGCAGCAACCUGGGACUUGGUGGUCCCGCGAGUGGUGGCAACAACGCCGGAAACAUCCACCAGGCACCUUCGUCGAACAGCAACAACAGCAGCAUGUACGCUCCGCUGAAGAUCUCUAUCCCGCCGGAACCGCCCAGUUCGUCGUCUUCGAUGGAACACAUCGAGAUGAGCGGGCGCAUCCGGGACAACGGCAAGAGUCCGUACCCGUCGCCAACGGGAACGAUCAGCGCGGCCAACAGCUGUCCGACGAGCCCCCGUCAGGGUUAUCACGAUUUCUCCGCGUACAGCAUGGUCGGCGUCGGCGGCGGUGGACCGGGUGUGCUCGGUCACGACGGUGGCGGGGGCGGCAUGGGGAUGCUCAGCGCUGGCAACUCCAGCUUCAACGACUUCCAACCACCCGCCACGUCCCAGUCGCUCGAAAACGAGAAGCCACCGUACAGCUACGCCCAGCUGAUUGUGCAAUCGAUCUCGGCCUCGCCCGAGAAGCAGCUCACGCUAUCCGGAAUCUACUCGUUCAUCUCGAAGAACUACCCGUACUACCGAAACGGCGCAAACAAGGGCUGGCAGAACUCGAUCCGGCACAACCUCAGCCUGAACCGCUACUUCAUCAAGGUGCCCCGGUUGCAAGACGAACCGGGCAAGGGCAGCUUCUGGCGGAUCGACCCGAACAGCGAGCUGAAGCUGAUCGACCAAAGCUACCGCAAGCGGCGCCAGCGGGGCAGCCAGUGCUUCCGGACGCCGUACGGCAUGCCCAAGUCGGCGCCCGUUUCGCCCACGCCGAUGGACCCGAUGGCCGAGAGCCGCGAGGGGUCGCCCAUCGACGAGGAGCUGCUGCUGCAGUCGGCGCCCGGUUCGCCCGGCCAGAUGGUGGCGGCGAACGCGUACGUGCACAGCAGCACCGGCACCAGCGUGGCCGGCCAUCCCGGGCAGGAGGAACACAACAACUAUUCAAUGGUUUAAGUUUGCUUUUUUGUUGUACACGUCGUUUCUAGAGACCUAAAUAGCAUUUAUUUGAACCCCAUCUUCUUCAGUCCAAGUUCAAUUUCCAGAUAUUCCCUCAAAGUCAUCCACCAAACAGCGCGGCGUCUAUCCGGAGUCGGCCAACAAUGGUGGCGCCGGCGGUGGCAACAGGUCCGCCAUCAAACAACAACCGCAACCGUCAACAGCCCAGGUGGUGGCCUCAUCGACAGCAAAUCUGUAGGUACAAUCGUGCGUAACCAAGCGCGCAGUGAGAUUUUCCACCUUUCUUUUUACAAACAAAAAAAACAAAAACACUCUUACAAAAAAAAACUAUUUGUAUGGUAAAGAUAUAAACAAAAAAAACAACAAUUCUAUAUAUAUUAUUACUAACAGUAAGUCCAAAGCGCGAACAAGCCGCUACUGUGUUCGUAUGUAAUAUUGUUUUAGUGCAAGAAUCAAACCUGGCUAGAGCAAAUAAAUUGGUUUGUAACAAACAAAGAGAGCGGAGUUCACAAAGUAGAAGAGAAAGAGCACCCAACCACACACGGUCACCACACGUGCACCUUCUCAGAGUAGAACAAAACAAAACAAAAAUCUAUUCUUUCAGUAGAAGUGGUUUGUAGUUGAAUGUAUCGAGCGUGUAACAGGCUAACGAAAAGAUUGUAUAAAAUGUCGAUGUUGUUGCUUUUUAGAUAAAACUAUAAAACAAAACAAAAAAAACUCUGGUCCACCUCUGUUUGUCCGCCCGCGGCGCACUUUCUUCGGUGAAAUGGCUCUCCGUGCCCGUUGUUUCCACUUUUUGAGAGUGGUAAACGCGAGCGGAGUGAACAAUAGCGAACCAAACUGUCAAGAUUUCUGGAAACGAUCGUGCACACCCACAGAAGCAAAGUAGCAACAACAUCUGCGCAAAAAAUACCCCGAAACCGAGUGUUGUUGAGUAGGAAUCAAAACCACACAAACAAACCAAUACACACACACACAGAUAGACUAACAAAAUGUUUAAGCUUAACGAACAAACUGAUUUUAAGUUGGAAGUAGCGAAAAAGAAUCGCCACCGAACUCAUCCAUCCACAUCCACACAGACACACGCGUGCACACUGACACAAAACACUCUUUCACAUACACACAGAAGGAGGAAGAGGCAAACAUGAGAAAGAGCGACACACACACACAUUCAUGCAUCUGGAAAGUCGAUUGUUAUUAUACUGUUGGGUUCGUGAUGUC